GUCCCAGUUCCGAACCCGUCGG
rnacentral:snRNA from 1 species